CUGGCACCGCCGCCUCCCGCCCCUCAGGAGCGGCCGCAGGGCCACAGCGAGGGAAGGGGCUCGUCUCGGCUUUCGCACGUCUCUCGCAGGGCCGAGUGUGGUUUGGUUUUGACUUCUGCAUGGUGGCAGCUCCACGGAGAGUCUCUGUAGGAUGCCUACUGCAACAUGGCACUGGCCAGCACACACCACGGCAGCCCAGGUUUCCAUAAAUAAUAUGCCCAGGAAGACAGGGAGUUGCCAAAAACCGUAUGUGUGUGCAGGCAUGACUUGUUACUCUGGCUAUCGUCUCCAUCUGCCACAGUCAGCACGGAACAAUGGCCCUGCACAGGAGGACCAGGGAUUACUGCCCAGAGAGCAAUUCUCACACUGCCUGGCUCCUCUGCUUUGGCUCCUGCCCCUCCUGUUGCCAUCCAUGGAAAUAGACAAUGGCACAGCAAGCGCACCUUGACCUGGCUGCUCUGGACCUCCCAAACCACCUCUGCUCUUUCUGCCUCUACCAACAGCAAGGGAAGCCAGCCCUAGGAGCUGCUGUGGGCCUGCUGGUCUGCUGGCAGGCCACGAGCUUUAGGUGUCGCUGUGUGGCCUACAGGUUGCUCAUCAUGGACAAAUUUCCCAUUUUCACAUCAUGAAUGGAAAAAUGCUGUUGAAUUUCCAUAAAAAAGAAUAAUAUUGGGCUUACUUAGGCUCACGGCCAAUCUCAUCUCUCUCGUCGCCUACAGAAAAAUUUUCUCCUUAUUUAAAGGAGGCCAGCUCUACUUCCAGGCAACACAAGGAAAAAGUGCCUGCAAGUGUUUAGUAAACUGUAAAAUGUAUUUUCUUGAUAUUUCAGUAUUCUUAACAGAAAAAGGUGCGCAUUCAGUUCUCAAGGAUCUACUUUGGAUUUAGGACUAGUAAAUUAUAGAGUGGUCAACAGGUGGUCCAAGUCUGAAAUAUAUGCUUGAAACAUCCAAGAAAUAAAUGUAUUUACCACAUACCUAUUUUCCUGCGUAUGUGCUCACUCCCAACAUGAUCUCAGCCUCAUCCUGCCUCAGUGCAUCCUGAGAUAUUUACCAAUUCCAUCAGGUAUUCCUGUCAGCAACAGGUAUGACCGUAAACCUGGGAUGGGAUUUAUAGCACCUCUGUAUCUGAGCUUGUUAACCUAAACCCCCUUUUUAACCAGUGGAGACAAACAAGCAUUUCUAGGAUGAGAUUCAUUGUGCUUAUUUUAAUCCUUCAGUAUAAGAUGAGGUGAUUUCCAACUUCUGUGUUUAAAUCAGAAUCUUUUUUCUCUCUUCUUGCACCUUCUUUUCCUAUUUAACCCCAGUGAAUUGUUACAAGGCUGACUGUGUGUCCUCCAUGGCCUAAAGAAGGUCAUUAUGCAGGCGAUACCACCAGCUCCUGCUGGUUGUACUGCAGAGCCAUGAAAUGGCAAAGCUCACUCAAGUGGACUGGUGGCACAGUCAGGCCAAGGCAUGGGGCCAGGAGAUGCUGCUGGCACCCCUCCAGCUGCACUGCUGUUUCACAUUUAAGUCACCAGCACUAAGAACUUUUGGUCCCCAGAUUAGUGGUGCCUCUCAUCUGUCCUUCCAUGCAGAGGAGAAGAGCUGUCAAAACCAGUGCGUGGACUCAGCACUCACUGUCCCUCCUCAGGAGGAACUGAAUUCUCUUGCCAGAAAUACUGGGAGAAGGUGGAUGCCAGUCCCACAGCUGGGGUGGGAAUGAGAAGAAAGAAGGAAGGUCCUGAACUGCUUGGAGCAGCUCUGCACUGCCUUUCAUCUUUUUCCUGUGAUCAGUUUCAACUCCACCUUGUCCUGCAUGUCGCAAGCUGGGAGAUGGAGCUGAGGAAGAAAAUGUCUAGAACUGCAGAAGGGACGACAUCCAGAGGGACCUUCAGAGGACCCUCAUGUGAACCUCCUGAGGCCCAACAAGGUCAAUUACAUGGUCCUGUCCCUAUGUUUGUCCAAGCCCCAGUAUCAACACAGAUGUAGGAUGUACUGAUUGAGAGCAGUCCUGCUGAGAAGGACCUGGGAGGGUUGGGGGAUGAGAGGCUGGACAUGAGCCAGCAAUGUGCCCUUGCAACCCAGAAAGCUAAAAAUGCAUGACCAGCUGGUCAAGGGAGGUGAUUCUCCCCUCUACUCUGCUGUUGUGAGCCCCCAGCUGGAGUGCAGUGUCCAGCUCUGGGGUUUCCAGAACAGGAAAGACACGGAUCUGUUGGAGCAGGUCCAGGGGAGACCAUGAAGAUGGUCAGAAGGAUGAGGCAUGUCUCCUAUGAAAAGAGGCUGUGAGAGCUGGGGUUCACGAAGAAGAGCAAGUUCUGGGGAGAUCUUACUGUGAUCUGUACAAAAAAGGGAUUUAUAAGAAAGAUGGAGAAAGACUUUAAUAGGGCCUGUAGUGACAGGACAAGGGGAAACAGUUUUCAACUGAAAGAGGGUAAAUUUAGAUAGGAUCUAAGAAAUUCAUUACUAUGAGUGUGGUGAGACACAGGAACGGGUUGCCUUGAGAAGCUGUGGAUGCCCCAUCCCUGGAAGUGUUCAAGGCCAGACUGGAUAAGGCUUUGAACAUCCUGGUCUAGUGAAAGGUGUCCCUGCCCACUGCAGUGGGGUUGGAACUAGAUGAUCUUCAAGGUCCCUUCCAACCCAAACUCUUCUAUGAUUCUAUGAUAAAUCUAAACUGCAAAGGAAAAUAUGCUUUUUUAAACUAGAGGCAUAUUCCAAAAUGGAAGUGAGAAAAAUAAUAAGAAGGGCCUAUCCUUUGAUAAAUGUUAUCUAUGUCUAUCUUGUUCCUGCAGGAGAAAUGUUUUCUUUCAUGUCUGUUGACAGGGUGAGAAUUCUGUAUGUAAGGAUGCCAAGUGGAGGAGAAAAGGAUAACUAUUGCUAAGAAAGGACUUGUUAGUAUUGAUUGAAUAACAUCAACAAUGUUAGAAACAUUUUGUUGAUUUGACUGGUGUUUGCUCCUUGGUGAAGUGCUUUAUUGAUAACUUCUAUGGGUAAUGUGUCAGAACAGAGCUGGAAGUUUGCCCUGGGGAUACUGACUAACAAUGGUGUGAUUUGGGAAGGUCAUUCCCUGAACAUUGUGUUCUCAACCUAUCUCUGGCUUCCCACUUUGGUUACUGGUAAUGUGCAUCAAUAUCAGACUCAUAUUUUGUCACAAGAGAAUUUUUUUUUACAAUGUUUUGUUAAGCAACUAGUUCUCUGCAAUGCACUAUUCUGAAAGAAAAUUUCCAUUGAUUUGAAGUUAUGUGGAGCUGGAUUUGGAUGAAUAAAUUGUUUGAACACUUCUGAGGCUGUUUUGAGGAACAUACUUUGUACAAAUUUCUUUUGCAGAAAUACAAAGUGACUGAAAGACAUAAAAAGAUUUGAAAUUCUUAGGAUGGCCAUGCAGCACUUCGUUGAUCUGUGCUGUUUGUCCCAUUAUGUACUGUUGUGUUUCUUGCUCUCUGCCAGGAUCAAAGUCAUAGUUACUCUGGGAAUGGCAAUUUCACCUAGGCUGUGACAGCCAUCGGCACUAAGCACAAGUUUUAUACACUCUGGUGCUUACAACGAGAGCUUACAUAGUAUUUAAGGAUUUUGUGGGUCUUGUAGCUCUGGACUCAGGGGUGAAAUUCAUCCAGUGUACUUAGCAGUUUUUUCCAUAGCUCUUCAACACACUUUCCUUCUGAGGAUACAAAGUGAUUUGCAAACACUAAUUAGUUCUCAUAAAGCCCUAUGAGGCAGAUAAAUGUUAAGUAUCCCUGUGUUAGUACAUAUGAGAAACAUGAGACCUGAGCACCUUACCAUUCAUGCUGUUCACUGAAUUUGCUCCCAAAAAUGACUAAGUGCUGGGGGACACAGGAAAUCCCCUUUUUUUUCUCUAAUUCUGUUGUUUUCCUUGGACCUUCUGGAAUUCUUUGAGGGCAGCAGAGAUAAGGUUGGGCUUCAAGCUGCAGUAUGUGAAAUUCAAGCUACACAAAUUGCAAAAGUGAAGGAGCCUUGGUGUACUCUUUGCUAGUUUUUGGGGUAAAAGCCAGGCCCUUCAUGCAACCUGUGAGUUACUUGCUCGGUGUCCCAGCACCCCACUGGAAAGGUAGCUUGGGCUGCCAAAGUAGGAAACACCCCUGAAAGUCAGGCAUACUUGUGGGCUACCAAGAGCAACAGGGCUACACAGCAAGUAGGGGUGGAGGAAUUACUUGAAGAAAUAGCCCUAGCCAGAUCUCACCCAUCUCUCUGAGGAAAACCAGUCUUUUGAAAGACCAAUGGAUGCUCUAAAUCUUAGUGCUUUUCCUCUCUGUAGCUUUAGUCAGGUUAGCACAAACAGGACCUAAAGUGACUUUCCCAGUUUGUUAAUUAACCUUAAGAGCAAUUUACAGCAUGGAGGCCAGUGACACUGGAAAUGGAGGCUUGGCCUUUUUGAGGGCAAACAGCAACUCUGUGUGAAGCAGUAAAGCAGCUAAAUUUUCAUGCUAACAAUACUGGCUGAGAGACAGUUCCACAUUUUUGAGAUGUACUAGACAUAAGAUCAUCCAAAUGCUUUUCUGAAUGCAUUCUGACAAAUUUAUCUAUGGUUACAUGCCUUCCCAGCCCUUGAUGCACAGCACAUAACCUAAUAUGACAGUUAUAAUUAUGAUACUGAUCAGACCAACCAGGCAUUUUUCAGACAUGAAAACUAGACUAAUUCUUUAGUUUCAAACACAAAAUGAGAGGCAUGUUAGGUCUGUGCCAGGCAGACUUCUGUUGUUACCUUAACAAAUACUUCAGGCAUUGUUUGUAUUUCUAUUGUGCCAGGAGAUUUUAUUCUUUAGUUUGAGGAUUCUCCCUGAAUGGGGGAGGGAAAUGUUGCUAUCGCUGUGAACAAGAAACAUUUCUUUCUGACAUAUUAAGCAUUAAGAGGAUUAUGUAAAGACAAGGCAUAUUGCAGAAGGAGAUGCUUUUAACAUAGCUUUUACCAUGAACCCACGACCUGCCAAAAUUUAGGAGAGUAAAAAAAACCUAUUGCUUUGACAAUCUUUCUAUUUUAAAAAAAUCAUCUUGUAAAAAGAUCAAGGAAUUCAUCCACUGUUAUUUACAUAAAAUUCAAACUUUGCUGCUUAAAAUCACAAAUCACUGAAUGUCACAUCUGCAGGAUAUCUAGGCAGACGCCAUUAAUCCAAGUCAUUUUGCAAAUUCCAAUUUCAUUUGGAUUAAACCUACAACUAAGUCAGUGAAUAGCAUAUACUGUACAUGCAUUAAGGCUGGUGACUACUAAAGUCUCUUGGGUAGAUAAACUAAGUACAGAUUAGCCAGGUCUAAGUGUAUGUCCUCAUCUGGAGAAGAAAAGUUAUCCUGACAUUUCAGAUUUUAGUCAGUAGCCAUGAAAAAUGGUUGAACAUUUGUAUUACAAAAGAGAUACUAUGGCACAGUCCCAAAGGUGCAUUUCAUAUAAAUUAAUUAGCUACAGAAAUUAUUUUGACAACAGCUACUGCACUUCUGAGGUGAUAUGGCUGCUCAGUGAUGAGUACUUGAUGAUCAAUGGUAGGCACUAGUAAUAUCCUUCAUGCUGAGUAACUUUUAUUACUAUUUAGAUUUACAGUAUAUACAUAUGUGUAUGUAUCUACACUUGGGGCUUGAUCCUCUUAACCUCCUUUACCUAAGGUCUUUUUUUCAGUAUAGUCUCUUCCAUUGGAGCUCUGUGUUAUUUGGACAAAAGAAAUAGGCAAACAAGGGGUGACAGAAAGGACUCUGCCUGGCUUUUGACCCCACUUGAACCUCUGCAUAUGCUUUGUGCUUACCUGACACUCAUGCCACCAUGCCAUAUUACAAAGGAUUAAGGCCAAGGGCUCUGUAUGAUCUUGCUGUCUGUGAGGAUCCUAUAGGCCGUUCUGGGUUUCUCAAGUCCACCUGCAAUACACAGUUCCUUUGAAUCCAUUCCUAUUGCUGUAUUAACUCUUACUGAUUCAGAAACCUCUGUUUGUAAGCAAACCUCUUCCUCCAGGCAUAAUCCUUCUGGAUUUGUACAGAAUGACUUCUUACUUUUCCGAACUUGAACCUGAAUGUUGCUUUGGCUAAAGAAGCCUGCAUGUUCCUGGACUUUUACAGCGGAUUAAAAUAAGGCAAUGUCUUUCAUGGAACUGCAAAGAAGGACAGCCUCCUCUGGUCCCAUCCAAAACACACAGAGCAUCUUUGACUCACAGUGUGAUAUGCCUAAGACUAUUCAGGUUCUUAAAGUGGUGCAUAUGCUUAAUUGGACCAGAUUUAAAGUCACAUGCACUUUUGCAGACUGGGCCCUAAGAAGAUGAAAUUAAGGAUUUGUUGUCACCGUGCCACAUUCAGUCAUCCAGUCAGCAGCAACCCUAUACAGCAAACAGCCUACACAAAAGAAUAUCUUAGAUAACCUCACUAAAAUAAUAUAGUUGCAAGAAACCUUACAGAGAGGCCAAACCCUCUAAUCCACUCAUCCUGUUGCACCACUAGAAAUUAAGGCUCAGUGUGCUCAUCAGACAACACAGAUGAUGCCAGCACAAAAACUAAAAUCCAGUAAGAUUUCCAUGAAAGCAAUAGGUAUUUUAGCUGAAAUAAUCAAUAUAAGAGCAAUGUACAGGAAAGGACAAUCAUCUAUAGAGAUGCUUAGUACUUGGAAAUGUUACAACAGAACACCAUUAAUUCUUGCAUUUCUUUGAAGUUUCUUGACGUGUUAUAUCCAUACAAAGAGUUCAUCAUGAUUAAGAAAAAUAUCCCGAUCAUAGUAAAAUAAACGUGCUUCAAAUUUCCGUAUUUGAAACUCAAAUGUCACAUGUGCAAUAAAACUAAACUCCAUUUAAGGCAAGUAAUAUAUGUUACUUCUAAAAUUUCUCAACAUUAAAUAUCAGAAAGGGCUCCCAAACCCCCAAACUUAUCUGAAGAUAAACAUCAUAGGCACCGUCAAAGAAAACAGAAGCUAAUCUAGCUGAGUUUCACUUUCCUGAUCUGAGGAGGAAUCCCGCAGUACCUGCAGAUGGCAUUGAAGCAGCUGACAGAAUCCUUUGCUACUGCUCUAGCAAAUCCUGACAGACUUCCACAGCUGGAGAUCAGGCAAGUGAUAAACAGAAAGGCACCAAUCAAGUUCUCCACGAUACUUGUGACAAAACAAAUUGUUUUCCUUCUGGGGUGGGUGACAGCCAGGGCUAAGGGUGACGGCAGGACUCAAAGGUCAUGUAUUUUGUCAUUUAAAGGCAAGUAUAUGUUCUCUCCUAAAGCCAGCCACAUUGUAACACUCAAGUCCCUGCUAAGAGGAGACCACAGCCACAGGGAUUCACUUGGGGGGAAUUAUCUGAGCACCGAUGGGCACAUGAAUAUUGGCCAAGGAUGUCUUGGGGCUGAGCAGUUCCUUGGUGGCUGCUUCAGAGAACACAGUGAAUGCUCUGAGUCUGAGCAAUAGCUGGAGUUAUGGUGAGCAGCCUCGGCAGAAAAACACAGCUAUGUGGGGCUUAGUGUGCUCAUAAGCCCACUCUUUACCACGGGGUACACGGAGUCUGUGCUACCAAAGACUGAGAAAUUGUGCCAUAUUGUUUGGUAUCUUUUCUUCAAAAUGCAGCUCUUCAAAAAUGGGGAACGGAAAAAAAAAAGGCAGCAAGGACCAAUUAAUCAACCUUUGUAUCAGUGGCUACUUUGACUUGUAUCUUCUACUGAAAGGGUCUGUUGUAUUCACAUUUUCUUAAUAUGUAUGCACAUUAGAUUAGA